GACGUCAAGCUUCCAAGAAAAGCCCUACACCCGUUAAGGCAUCAUGGCCUGUACCCGAAACCGACACAGGUGGGGUGGUAGAGAAUACCGAGGGGCGCGAGGUAACUCUCUCUAAGGAACUCGGCAAAAUGGCCCCGUAACUUCGGGAGAAGGGGUGCCAGCGAGAGCUGGUCGCAGUGAAGAGGCCCAGGCGACUGUUUACCAAAAACACAGGUCUCCGCUAAGUCGCAAGACGAUGUAUGGGGGCUGACGCCUGCCCAGUGCCGGAAGGUUAAGGAAGCUGGUCAGCGCAAGCGAAGCUAGCGACUGAAGCCCCGGUGAACGGCGGCCGUAACGAUAACGGUCCUAAGGUAGCGAAAUUCCUUGUCGGGUAAGUUCCGACCCGCACGAAAGGCGUAACGAUCUGGGCGCUGUCUCGGAGAGAGGCUCGGCGAAAUAGAAUUGUCUGUGAAGAUGCGGACUACGUGCACCCGGACAGAAAGACCCUAUGAAGCUUUACUGUAGCUUGGUAUUGUGCUCGGGCUCGGAAUGCGCAGGAUAGGUGGGAGGCUUGGAUCCAUUGCUUGCGGGUGAUGGUGAGCCACUGGUGAGAUACCACUCUUUCCGAGCUAGAGUUCUAACCCUCGCCCGUUAUCCGGGGAGGGGACAGUAUCAGGUGGGCAGUUUGACUGGGGCGGUCGCCUCCUAAAAGGUAACGGAGGCGUGCAAAGGUUCCCUCAGGCUGGUUGGAAAUCAGCCGACGAGUGCAAAGGCAGAAGGGAGCUUGACUGUGAGACCUACAAGUCGAACAGGGACGAAAGUCGGCCUUAGUGAUCCGACGGUUCUGCGUGGAAGGGCCGUCGCUCAACGGAUAAAAGUUACUCUAAGGAUAACAGGCUGAUCUCCCCCAAGAGUUCACAUCGACGGGGAGGUUUGGCACCUCGAUGUCGGCUCAUCGCAACCUGGGGCUGAAGUCGGUCCCAAGGGUUGGGCUGUUCGCCCAUUAAAGCGGUACGCGAGCUGGGUUCAGAACGUCGUGAGACAGUUCGGUCCAUAUCCGGUGCACGCGCAGGAAUAUUGAGAGGAUUUCUCCCUAGUACGAGAGGACCGGGAGGAACGCACCUCAGGUGUGCCAGUUAUCGUGCCAACGGUAAACGCUGGGUAGCCAUGUGCGGAGAGGAUAACCGCUGAAAGCAUCUAGGUGGGAAGCCCACCUCAAGAUGAGUAUUCCCAUGGCAAAAGCCAGUAAGGUCACGGGAAGAUUACCCGUUGAUAGGCUCUACGUGGAAGCGCAGCAAUGCGUGAAGCGGAGGAGUACUAAUAGACCGAGGGCUU
rnacentral:rRNA from 1 species